UCGAACGAAGCACAGAAAGCAGAUUACUUCGGUUUGAAGCUUUCCGUGACUGAGUGGCGGACGGGUGAGUAACGCGUGGAUAACCUGCCUCACACAGGGGGAUAACAGUUAGAAAUGACUGCUAAUACCGCAUAAGCGCACAGUCUCGCAUGGGACAGUGUGAAAAACUGAGGUGGUGUGAGAUGGAUCCGCGUCUGAUUAGGCAGUUGGCGGGGUAACGGCCCACCAAACCAACGAUCAGUAGCCGGCCUGAGAGGGUGAACGGCCACAUUGGGACUGAGACACGGCCCAAACUCCUACGGGAGGCAGCAGUGGGGAAUAUUGCACAAUGGGGGAAACCCUGAUGCAGCGACGCCGCGUGAAGGAAGAAGUAUUUCGGUAUGUAAACUUCUAUCAGCAGGGAAGAAAAUGACGGUACCUGACUAAGAAGCCCCGGCUAACUACGUGCCAGCAGCCGCGGUAAUACGUAGGGGGCAAGCGUUAUCCGGAUUUACUGGGUGUAAAGGGAGCGUAGGCGGCGAUGCAAGUCAGAAGUGAAAGCCCGGGGCUCAACUCCGGGACUGCUUUUGAAACUGUAUGGCUAGAUUGCAGGAGAGGCAAGUGGAAUUCCUAGUGUAGCGGUGAAAUGCGUAGAUAUUAGGAGGAACACCGGUGGCGAAGGCGGCCUGCUGGACUGCAACUGACGUUGAGGCCCGAAAGCGUGGGGAGCAAACAGGAUUAGAUACCCUGGUAGU
rnacentral:rRNA from 1 species